rnacentral:lncRNA from 1 species
AAUAAGUAUUGCAACGAAUUCACAAUAAUUGUAAAUAGUUUUAAUUAUAAUAAUUGGAUAAAUGAUUAUAGAAAACACUUUUAUUAUUGAUUGUAUCGUUAUUUAAUUAACAGAAGAGAUCAGGCAUGGGAGGAAACUAAGUAUUGUCUUUCAGUAAUUUGUUUUAUAGUACAUUAUUGCAGUUUGAUGUAAAGUAUCAACAUUUAGGGCAUGCCCAUCUGCGCGAACUCCAGUCACUUUCUCCGCGAACAGAGUACAAUCAUAUCUCGACUUACGUCGGUUUUUUUGUUAAUAGAAAAAAAUAAAACUCUACUAAAGGCUGGAUUUGACAAGCGUAAAACGCGAUGUAAAUAUAUCGGUAUAUCAAUGCUGACGAUGCUAUUUCCGCUAUAUGUUAGACUAAUAGCUAUAUGAGCUGGUUAUUGAAACUUUGUUGCUCUCUGAAAUAAUAUAUGCAACACAUACAG